rnacentral:rRNA from 1 species
AAUGUUGUUGCGGUUAAAAAGCUCGUAGUUUGACCUCGGCGGGUUGGUGUCGGUUCGAUAUUUGUCGUUACUGGCACAUUGUACCCGUGUAUUUUGGUGUGGGAGUUUGCGUGGUGCUCUUCAUCGAGUGUCACGCAAUGCCCACAGGUUUACUUUGAAAAAAUUAGAGUGCUCAAAGCAGGCUUUACACGCUUGAAUCUUCGUGCAUGGAAUAAUGGAAUAGGACGUCGUUUCUAUUUUGUUGGUUUUCUGAAAUCGACGUAAUGAUCAAUAGGGCCAGUCGGGGGCAUUUGUAUCCAGACGACAGAGGUGAAAUUCUUGGACCGUCUGGCGACAAACUACUGCGAAAGCAUUUGCCAAGAAUGUUUUCAUUAAUCAAGAACGAAAGUUAGAGGUUCGAAGGCGAUCAGAUACCGCCCUAGUUCUAACCAUAAACGAUGCCAGCUAGCGAUCCGCAGGCGUUUUAUUUGUAGGCCCUGCGGGAAGCUUCCGAGAAAUCAAAGCUUUUGGGUUCG